ACACACGGAGCAUUUGGAAGACAACAAUGUCAUCAUCCUUCUGUCAGGAGGAUCCAAGUGAAGCUACAGGAGUAUGAUGAAGAGCAAGAAGGGCAGCCUGGAGAGAAAGAGGAGCCGGGUUGAGCCCACUACUAUCAUCCACGUACCACGAGGAAGAUGAGGGAGAGAAAUUAUCCUACCAUUAAAGAGACUGUGCAAAGAAUGUUGAGAACAUCACCACUCUACAGGAAUACACAGUCCAGUAAUGUGUGUCAGAAGUUCAGUAGUGAACGACAGGUACUGUGGAAAAAUGUGUGUCAUUGUUGUACAAUGUCCUUUGACUCUGUUUACACAAGGUCAACACAAAAAGGUUUGAUUGUAAACUGA